GUUGUAAUUGCUUCUCUUCUGAAGUGAAAAUCAGAGUCCUGAGAACUCAUAAAUGCUUAAAAAAAGUGUUUCUGUUUGUUAUGUUGAGCAUAAACUGCAUUUUCCUCUCGUCAGCCUGGUAUAUCCGUGAAAUAACUAAAUGUAGUUUUUCAUUUCAUGGUAGUUUUCUUAACUUUUAAUCUUUUUUUUUUUAGUAUCAUUUUAGAGUGCUUCACAUUCUCCUUCUGGUUAGAUGAUGCCUGAAAUACUCAAGUUAGAGUUUAUUUUUGGGAGAUUCUGUUUCUAAUUAGCAUCCAUGUUUCUGCUUAAGUAGGCUUAUUACAUUUUCUUGUUAUGCUAUGAUGCAAUACUCAGAUAAUUCUUAACCUAAUAGAAAUGACUAUCAGUUUUUCAUAUUGUAAAUUUCUUUUUUACAGGAUGAAUCACUUUAUACUUCUUUCCAUAAUGCUUCAGUGUUGGUUACCAUUGGAGAUGUGGGCUUUGGCUCAAGUAUAAAGAACAUUCAAUUAUUUUUUUCUUAGCUGAGGUUUUUAGAAGACUGAUCUGUUACUUUGAAGAAAUUGAGCUCUGUAUUUAAAGGAUCUUUAUGUUCACUCUUCAGGCUGCAAUCCAUACUCUGUGAGAAGGUUCAAAGAAACCUAUGAAGAAGAUGGAAUGAUAUUUGAUACCAAUUCUUCUGCUCCCCACCAAAGGAAGAGUGUUUUCCCUGGAGUCUUUCUCCAGUCUCCAGCACCAACAGUUAAGGCAUGAAAAUAGAUUCAGAAGCCUUCUGUUAAAAACAGCUGCAUUUUGUAUUCCAGUUGUGUGCCUGUUGUAAGAAUAUAGCACAUCUUACUGCAGAAUGUAACCACAUCCCAGUGAAUUUCUCUGUAAAUUUCUGUAACUUUUUAGCCAACUAAGCAUUUUAGCUCAUGGAGUAACAUCAUAUACAGAGCUGAUUAUUUUGUAGGAUUACAGGUAAUUAAUUUUUAAACUGUAUUAUCCUAAAAUAUCCAUAAGGCAAAGAUAAGUACUGUAUUUAAUUAUGUUUAUCCACAUAAUUAAAUCAGAACUGGCAGAGAAGAUAAAUAUCUAUUAGGUAUGAAAAUUUUUGGUGUCCUACUGGUGCUGACAACUUUGAAAACAAUAGAGAUUGUUGAGACUCUGAAAAAAAAGCAGUAAGGGUUCUUGCUGAGUUUUUGGAAAGGUUGAGCAGCAAAUUAUGGCUUUGAAUGUUUUAAUUAAUAUCUGAGCCAGGUGCUUAUGUUGACUUUUAUUUUGUGUGUAAAACAUUAGCAUUACUUCUACCAAAGCAUAAUUAUAUAGUAGUGCUAUCUCUGUGCCUUUGAAAGGAAGGUAUUUGAACCAUUUCUGUCAAACUGCUGCAAUCUGCUUAGGAAAUACACAGAUCACAUCAUCUGCUCUAUGCACAGAAAUGUCACUUAGGGGCCUGUCACACUGAACUUCUUGUGUUAAAACACUGCCUAUACUAUAUAUGCAUUUGAGGCUGCAGCACAGGGAUUUUUCAAAAGUCAGCAAACUUGGGAUUUUGCAGUACUCCUUAAUUCUACCCUUUUUCAGAGCUCUUUGCUUUCCUGGUUCUUGUUUCUAGACCAUUCUAAGUGAUAGCAGGGUCCCUAUGGAUUUUGGUGGCACAGAAUCAAGAAGGUGCACAUCAAGUGGUGCAGAAUCAGAGGAUCAUACCAUUUUAAAUACACUGAAAUCCUUCUGUAUCAUUGACUAGAAAUUAUUAUGCAGUGUACAUACUCUCUGUGUUUUAAAGAAUUGGGUGGGGCAGUAUGAAAUUUGUUUUCUUUUAAAUUAAGUGUGCACAGUGGUUGGGGAAAAACUGGAUUCGUUUUUCUGAGGUGGCUGUGCUCAAAACUUAGAGUUGAUUCCAAACUGUGGCAGUAAAGGAGUGUCAGAGCAGUUUGUUACAUAUCUCAGUGUUGGUUCCUCAGUGUGGGUGUGUCAGACAGAUCUGUGGACUUCGGUGAGCAGAGCAGGGCACAGCAGGAGCGGGAGGAUGCAUGUGGCAUUCCUGUACCUACACCAGGCUCCUACAGUGGCAGCUCCAUUGAGGCAGCUGGUUGUGCUCCCUUUGGAGCAUGAACUGAAGCACAGGCUGGCAAUAACAAUGAAGCUAUUCCCUGACAACAGUGCAGUUUAAAAUUCCAGUCAGAAUAGGAGCAAAGUUAAUGGAGGAGGCUUGAGGAGUGUGCAGGAUUAGAGGGUUUGUAGCCCUGACCUCUGUUAAGCCAAACUUGUCUUUAAAGACAUCUGGCCUUAUGUCUUUGAAGUUUUUUUUGUCAUUUCUGUACCCUGGAUAUUGGCAGUAGAGUAAUAUAUGUUCAUUGGUUUUGCAGUAGGCAGAGCAAAUCUCUGCUACCACUUGUAACAGGCAGAGCACAUCUGACGAACUUGCAUUGUUUUUCUGACCGUAGCUGUAACCACUGAAAGAAGAAUGUUCCUUGUAUUCUGAAAGUUAGAUUGCCUUUCUGUGAUAAAAUGCCAAAAAGAGUAAAAAAGCAGGUGAAACCUCAACGUGCACUUUUUAAAAUUCAGUAUUUUCUGAAGCCCCUCUGAGAAGAAAGAACACUGCUGCUCGUCAGGGUGGAUUGCAGGAGCUGACUUUACCUGUGGCUUUUGAAUAAUGUAAGCAGAGGGAGAAAUCGUAUUUGUCCAUAUGAGCACAAUGAGUUAAAGGUUCUUCAGCAGAAAGGAAAUGAACCACUGAAGUAGCUACAGUUUAAUUAAAGCUUAAAGCUUACUGAUGUUCAUUUUUUUAGUGGUGAAAUGUCACAUUUAUUUCCAUAUAUUGGUUAACAUUCAUUUUCAGUAUCUUCAUAGUCCUUUUACAACAUGGCAGAUUGGCAGUGAGUCCUGUAUAAUCUAAUGUACAGUGUGUCUAAAAGGUAACUGUUAUUCAAACAUUUCUCAUCUUUAAAAAUGACUGGUCAGUCUAGGGAAUUUUUAACCAGAGAAGUGAAGAUAAUUACUUGAACCUCUUUUAGAAUAAGCUGUAUUUGUUAAUAGCAAAAUUUCCAGUGUUUGGAUUAGGAAAAUGAACAUAUUCCCUUUGAAUUUAAAGUAGGAUUAUUCCUCUACUGAAAUUAUAGGGCUGGUAGACUACUACGUGUAAUUCAACUGGUUAUAUUAUUCUUCCAGGGCUGCAUAGAUCUGACUCACCUAAAAAGAUAUGAGGAUUGUCAGCUGAUUCACUGGUGGUUGUUGUUAUUUUUUUUUUUUAAUCAGGCUUUAUUUGUUGUCCUCAAAACUGCAUACAAUUGCAGUUAACUGCAUACAAUUGCUCUUAAAUUUUGAGGUGUUGUUAUUGGCAGAAAUAGAGUUUAUUACUCAAGUCCAUGGAGCUAGCCAGUAUAAAGUAAAUGUGUUUCCAGCGCUGAAUUGACAGUGAAUGUGUGAAACCUGUAUUAGAUAGGUCUGAGCAGCCAGGCUCUCUGAGCCUUUGGAAAGGAAGCAAAGUAGCUCUGGACACCCAGACAUUCAAUAAUCUUGGGUGCUGCCAUGUGGUGUUCUGUACUGAAUAAAACCCCAGAAUAGAUGAUGGAAGACUGAAGAUUCAAUCCUAGGUUUUCCCUGGGCCCAGUGUACUGUUCUCAGUUAUGCUGAUGGGCUUGGAUGGAAAGCAAAUUCCUUUGAAUGUUGGUGGUGUAGUCUCUGUUUGUAGAAGUUGCUCAUUCUUUUCCUGCUUUGAGAAGUGUGUGUGACUGUGGUGUAUGGAGAAGUGUAGCUGGUGUUUUAAGCACUUUUCUGUUGGUCAGUUCCUGACACAGAGUUUUUAAUCUGUGCAAGAAGAACUCACUGUGGAUUGCAGAGCACAGGGGUGCUGCCUUGGAUCAGAGAUUCCUGGCUGCUGGCAGCCAGCAGGAUGCACUCACAGGGAUCACUGUGGGUCUGUCCUGUGCUUUUGCUCUUCCUUAGGACCCAUGAGGAGCCGCAUUCUCUACUGGAUGGACCCUGACCCAACCAGAAGUUUCCUAUGUCUUUAAUAUCUUUGAAUAUGUGAGGGGCAAGCUUAAACCUUUCACUGUUAUAUUUGUGUGCUUACUGUUGGUUGUUGUUUUUUAAAAUGAAAACCCCAACUAUUUUUAAAAUCUCACAUUACUUUGUUUAUGCUUAUAAAAUUCUACAUCAGUGUUUCUUCACUAACAAAAUGGAAAUUCAUAAUACAAAGCCUCACGGCAGCAAUCAUAUUAUUCUGUUUGGUUUUUUUUUAUCCUAUUGGUAUAGUUAUUUCCAAAAUAACUAAUGAUAAUACUACUGUUUUAAUGUUGACCUUAAAACUUACCCCACUCUCAGUUUGUUUUUUAGGUGCUGUUCAAGUGCUAAAUCUCUUACAUACACUGGUUGAAUACAAGAUCUGAAUAAUAAUAAUAUGGUACCAUUACAUACUGUGUAGACAAAAGAAAAGAAUGUAUAGGUAUUUAAAAUGUUCUAGUGUGCCAAAUAGUAAUACUGGUUUGCAGGUGGGUGUAACAAAUAUUGCCCAUUUUACUUUCUUACUUAUUUAUGACUGAAAAAAGGUCAAACUUAAAAAUUUAAGAUGCAUAUAGAAUGAUGCUAGGAAAUUCUCACUUCUGUUACAGAUUGUGAAAAGUGAGGAUACAAUAGUGCAAUUGUUCUUAAAAGUGGUAUUUCUGGAGGCUUAGAACUUUUUUCAGGGUCAUAUUACUCAUGCAAAGCAAGAUUUUAAAAAUAAAUAAAGUGUUAAUUGUGUGGAAUGUACAUAGCCAUAUUUUUUUUUUCUGGCUUAAGAAUGUUUAUCUAAACUGUUAGCUUUUUCAAACCGUAGGUAGCUGAUAUACAGGUCAGAUACUAGUGAUGUAUUUUUUGAGCUAUUUGAAAAACUGGUAGUACAUGCAAAAAUAUUUGGUCUUUGAGUUAGCAAGUUAUGAAUGUAAACCAUUUAUUGGAAAUCAAGAUGUGAGGUUUAUUGAAUGUUUCUUUGGCGGUUUUUGGCAUCUUUUAUAUACCAAAGUUACUCCUUUAAGGGAAUUCUUUUAAUAUGUGCAUGUUAUUAUUAUUACUAUUGUUCCAGCUGUAUGUCACCUGCUUACAAAUUAUUCCUAAACACAUGAGGAAUAAUGGACUCCUAACCUCUGUUGAACAGGUCUUGCUUUUCCCAUCCAUUCUUUUAUGCUAAAAUGCACUUACUGAUCUUUGAAAAUGGUGGCAGUAGUUCUUGACAGAGGAUAGCUGUGUAUGUGACUUCUAAUUGAGAAGGAUAAUGUGAAUCAAAUCAGACCUAAAAUUAUAUGCUGCUAUGUCUUCAGAUUUGUUUUUAACUUAUCAAGCACUUAAUAACACUUUGUUUUCAGGUGCCUGUAGUCCUAAACUGCAGUACUGAGGACACUUGGUAACACUGGAGAUGCUGCAUGUCUGUGGAAAACACAGUUUGUUAAAUUGCUCAGUGUUUUUUUCUAGACCUGCCUUGUUCUUAACAUCAUGCAGGAGCUUUACUCCUUAAUGACCCGGUGUCGUGGCUAAACCCCAGCUGACAGCUCAGCCCCACGCAGCCAACUUGCUCACCCCUCCAAUAGGUUUGGAGAGAGAAGCAGAGGAGUAGAAGAAAGAAAAGUCAUGGGUUGAGAUAAAGAGAGUUUAAUGGAUAAAGCAAAAGUUCCAAACAAGCAAAGCAGAGCAAGGAAUAAAUUCAGCACUUCCUCAGGCAGGUGUUCAGCCAUGCCCAGGACAGCCAGGCUCCAUCACACCUCACAGUGACUUGGGAAGACAAAUGCCACCACUCUGACCAACCCCCCUUCCUCCUCCUUCCCCCAGCUUUAUAUACUGAGCCUGAUGCCGUAUAUAUGGUAUGGGAUAUCCUUGGGUCAUUUGGGGUCAGCUGCCCCAGCUGUGUCCCCUCCCAGCUCCUUGUGCACCCCCAGCCUCCUCGCUGCUGGGCUGGGGUGAGGAGCAGGAGAGGCCUUGGCUGUGUGUGAGUCCUGGGCAGCAAUAACAAACCCCCCAUGGUUAUCAACACUGCUUCCAGCACAAAUCCAAAGCACAGCCCCAUAGUAGGCACUGUGAAGAAAAUUAAGUUUAUGCCAGACAAAGCCAGAAGAUUGAGUUUAGUGUUUGAGGCAGGAAAGAGCCAACUUCCAAUCCCCAUUUCAGUGAUCUGGCUUCCAGAUACCAGUGUUGCAUAAGCAAUAUUACUAUUUUAUUGAAUUCAUUUAUCUGACAGUGUAAUGCUGUGAAACUUCUGCAGUACUAUUUUGCAGAAUAAUUUUCUGAAUCAACUUGAAGGAUGGAAAAUUAGUUUGCUAAUCAAAGUCAAAUAUGUGAAUUAAAAAAGUAAAAGGAUGAAAUAAAUCUAAUUGUGGGUGACAUUUUCACUGUAAGUGAUGUGGAGGGGAAAAGUUCCA